rnacentral:tRNA from 1 species
UAGAUUGAAGCCAGUUGAUUAGGGUAUUUAGCUGUUAACUAAAAGUUCGUAGGAUAGAGGCCUACCAAUCUAG